GUUUAUGUAGCUUAAUUAAAGCAUGGCACUGAAGAUGCUAAGAUAAAUUUUAAAACAUUUCAAAAACA
rnacentral:tRNA from 1 species